GACGAACGCUGGCGGCGUGCUUAACACAUGCAAGUCGAACGGUAAGGCUCCAGCUUGCUGGGGUACACGAGUGGCGAACGGGUGAGUAACACGUGGGUGACCUGCCCUGCACUUCGGGAUAAGCCUGGGAAACUGGGUCUAAUACCGGAUAGGACCGCACCGUGAGGGUGUGCUGGAAAGUUUUUUCGGUGUGGGAUGGGCCCGCGGCCUAUCAGCUUGUUGGUGGGGUAAUGGCCUACCAAGGCGGCGACGGGUAGCCGGCCUGAGAGGGUGGACGGCCACAUUGGGACUGAGACACGGCCCAGACUCCUACGGGAGGCAGCAGUGGGGAAUAUUGCACAAUGGGCGGAAGCCUGAUGCAGCGACGCCGCGUGGGGGAUGACGGCCUUCGGGUUGUAAACUCCUUUCACCAUCGACGAAGGGUUUCUGACGGUAGAUGGAGAAGAAGCACCGGCUAACUACGUG
rnacentral:rRNA from 1 species